GACGAACGCUGGCGGCGUGCUUAACACAUGCAAGUCGAACGGUGAAGCUCCAGCUUGCUGGAGUGGAUCAGUGGCGAACGGGUGAGUAACACGUGAGCAACCUGCCCCUGACUCUGGAAUAAGCGCUGGAAACGGCGUCUAAUACUGGAUACGAGAAGGGCCCGCGUGGGCACUUUCUGGAAAGUUUUUCGGUUGGGGAUGGGCUCGCGGCCUAUCAGCUUGUUGGUGAGGUAAUGGCUCACCAAGGCGACGACGGGUAGCCGGCCUGAGAGGGCGACCGGCCACACUGGGACUGAGACACGGCCCAGACUCCUACGGGAGGCAGCAGUGGGGAAUAUUGCACAAUGGGCGAAAGCCUGAUGCAGCGACGCCGCGUGAGGGAUGACGGCCUUCGGGUUGUAAACCUCUUUCAGCAGGGAAGAAGCGAAAGUGACGGUACCUGCAGAAGAAGCACCGGCUAACUACGUG
rnacentral:rRNA from 1 species